UACGAAGGGGGCUAGCGUUGCUCGGAAUCACUGGGCGUAAAGGGUGCGUAGGCGGGUCUUUAAGUCAGGGGUGAAAUCCUGGAGCUCAACUCCAGAACUGCCUUUGAUACUGAGGAUCUUGAGUACGGGAGAGGUGAGUGGAACUGCGAGUGUAGAGGUGAAAUUCGUAGAUAUUCGCAAGAACACCAGUGGCGAAGGCGGCUCACUGGCCCGUAACUGACGCUGAGGCACGGAAAGCGUGGGGAGCCAAACAGG
rnacentral:rRNA from 1 species